rnacentral:rRNA from 1 species
CAGCCGCCGCGGUAAUACGAAGGGGGCUAGCGUUGCUCGGAAUGACUGGGCGUAAAGGGCGCGUAGGCGGCGGCCAAAGUCAGGCGUGAAAUUCCCGGGCUCAACCUGGGGGCUGCGCUUGAUACUUGGUUGCUUGAGUGGGGAAGAGGGUCGUGGAAUUCCCAGUGUAGAGGUGAAAUUCGUAGAUAUUGGGAAGAACACCGGUGGCGAAGGCGGCGACCUGGUCCUUUACUGACGCUGAGGCGCGAAAGCGUGGGGAGCAAACAGGAUUAGAUACCCCAGUAGUCCCUGUCUCUUAUAC